rnacentral:rRNA from 1 species
CAGUCGCCGCGGUAAUACGAAGGGUGCAAGCGUUACUCGGAAUUACUGGGCGUAAAGCGUGCGUAGGUGGUGGUUUAAGUCCGUUGUGAAAGCCUUGGGCUCAACCUGGGAAUUGCAGUGGAUACUGGGUCACUAGAGUGUGGUAGAGGAUAGUGGAAUUUCCGGUGUAGCAGUGAAAUGCGUAGAGAUCGGAAGGAACAUCUGUGGCGAAGGCGACUAUCUGGGCCAACACUGACACUGAGGCACGAAAGCGUGGGGAGCAAACAGGAUUAGAUACCCGCGUAGUCCCUGUCUCUUAUAC